rnacentral:rRNA from 1 species
CAAGGAAUUUUCCCCAAUGGGCGCAAGCCUGAGGGAGCAACGCCGCGUGCAGGACGACGGCCUUCGGGUUGUAAACUGCUUUUGGUGGGGACGAUCGUGACGGUACCCGCCGAAUAAGCCCCGGCUAACUCUGUGCCAGCAGCCGCGGUAAGACAGAGGGGGCAAGCGUUGUCCGGACUGACUGGGCGUAAAGCGCGCGCAGGCGGUGCGGGGCGUCGGUGCUGAAAUCGGGCCGCUUAACGGCUCGUGGCGUGCCGAUACGCCCGUACUGGAGGGUGGGCGAGGGUGAUGGAAUUGCCGGUGUAGUGGUGAAAUGCGUAGAGAUCGGCAGGAACACCCGUGGCGAAAGCGGCCACCUAGCCCAUUCCUGACGCUGAGGCGCGACAGCGUGGGGAGCGAACUG